ACAAAAAGGGAAUUAGGGUAACCUUAUGUGCCGAUUCAGAUUCUGAAAAAAUUUCCCUCGUUCUCGCGGCCGCUACCUUCUUCGAUCGGAGCUUCUCCUUCUCGAUUAUGAUCGUCGCCGCUCCAUGAGCAAAUCUCCGCCUUCUUCGCUUUCCUCUCCUCUUCUAUCUACUCUACUUGAACUCUUCAGGCUUGAUUCGAUCGGAGAAUCUUCAGAGAGAAUCCAGCGAUGUUGUUGAUGGUGAUGCGUGGUCGAGGGCUCUUGAUUGAAGAUUGAUCGGAUAUUGAUGAUGGUGAGAUGCACCGAUUUUGUGAAGGUUCGCGAUGGUGAAGAUUGAGCGAUGAAAACCGAUUCCGGCAAUGGAUGAAGAGCUCCGAUGAAGAUUUCAUGUAAAUUUGAUGGAGAAUUGAAGAUGAUAAUGAAGGUGAUUGAAAGAUUGAUGAUGAUGGUUGGAGAGGUGUUGAACGAUUCGGAGGGUGAUUGAUGAAAGUGGCGGUGACUGGUGUGAGGAAGAAGAUGGAUUGGAGGUGGUUAUGGUUCAGAAGUGAUGAUGAAUAUCGAUGGAGGUGUAGUGUGAGAGUGAAGUGAAAAGGUGGCGAAUUCUUCUGGCCUUGUGAAAACGAAUUUUUGAAGGUGAAGAGCGAAAUCCAGAGGAGCUUCAAUAUGCAGGGCGAAGCCUAUUAUAUAGGGAUGGAAGGUGCAAUGUUGAAUGGUUUUGGAGGAUUGGCUGAAUUCCCUUAAGCUUCCAUAAAGUCCCAGGAUCUUGACUUUUGAAAGAGAUGUGAAUUGGCAGAUGGCAUGAGUUUUAACCGUGUGGGGCUGACUGAAUGGUUUUCUUUAGUGAUGCAUGAUGAUUGAAGGAAGUUGAUGAAACAGGGCUGAACCGUUCGAAAUGCGGCUGGUUUUGAAUGUGUUGGUGAGAAGUAAUGCGAGAUUGGUGCGUUCACGUUAUCACGAUGAGAUGAACCGGCAUAAGUGUUACAAGGGAAGAGUUUUAGUCUGAAUUCAGUGACAACCAUCUUGGAAUGAACUUGUUUUUUGAUCUGAAUUGUUUUUCUUGGUUAUGCAGGUUUCAACUAUGGAUGCUUUGUCUUGAACUAAUUCUUUUGAGAACUCGCAUGAGGUUGUCCGCAUAUUUCUUCAUGUUACUUUCCACAGGUGCCAUCACGUAUAUGCUUAAAGCAUCUUCAAGGGAUUAUAGGCAGUGGCAGAGUGUUAAAGCCUGAGUGCUUGUAAUUUUCCAGCAUGAAGAGGGACGAAACCCAAGGAGAGAUGGUUUACACUUGUUCUGUAAAUUGAGCUCAGGAAUAAUCAACAGGGUAUUAGUGAUCAGGGUCAAAGGUCAACUAUUGACAAGAAGUCAACAAUUGACCAAAAAUGUCAACUCUGACUAAAAGUCAACCAUAGCCUUUUUUUUUUUGUAAUUUUCCUUUUGGAUGUAAUAAUAGGGAUGUUGAAUGGAAUUUGCAUACUUGUGUAGUACUUUGAAUGAGAAAUGAUGGGAAUUUGAACAAUGUUGAAUCGAAUGAUGUUUGGACCCCUGGAUGUGAAUUCUUCUUUUUGGUAACAAUGAAUAUGAUGGGCUUAAAUUUGUAACUGA